UCUUUUUUAGAAGAUACAAAGACAAAGACUCAUACGGACUUCGACUACACUAUCAAAGCUUUGAGAAGCAAGAAGAAGAUUGGUGAGUGUUUUGGAGUCGAAUAUGACUUGAUGUCAUAUGUAUGAUUGAGUAUAAGAACUUAAACCGCAACCGGACCUUAAAAGCCUAAGUAAUGUUUCCUUGUUAGAAGAUACAAAGCCAAAGCCUCAUACGGACUUUUGCUACACCAUCAAAGCUAUGAGAAGCAAGAAAAAGGUUGGUUAGUGUUUUGGAGUCAAAUAUUACUAGAUGUCAUGUGUAUGAGUGAGUAUGAUAACUAGAACCACAACCGGAUCUUAAAAGACUAAGUAUUGAAUCUUUGUUAGAAGAUACAAAGACAAAGACUCAUACGCACUUUACCUACACCAUCAAAGCUUUAAGAAGUAAGAAGAAGCUUGGUUAGUGUUUUGGAGUCAAAUAUGACUAGUUGUCAUGUGUAUGAGUGAGUAUAAAAACUAGAACCGCAACGAAUCUUAAAAGCCUAACUAUUGUAUCCUUGUUAGAAGAUACAAAGACAAAGACUCAUAUGGACUUCGGUUACACCAUCAAAGCUUUAAGAAGCAAGAAGAAGCUUGGUUAGUGUUUUGGAGUCGAAUAUGACUUGAUGUGAUGUGUAUGAUUGAGUAUAAGAAGUUAAACCGCAACCAGAGCUUAAAGGCCUAAGUAGUGUUUCCUAGUUAU
rnacentral:sRNA from 1 species